UAGAUUGAAGCCCGCUGGUUUAGGCUUUUAGUUGUUAACUAAAUAUUUAUGGGAUCAAGGCCCGUCGAUCUAG
rnacentral:tRNA from 1 species